rnacentral:rRNA from 1 species
GACGAACGCUGGCGGCGUGCCUAAUACAUGCAAGUUGAGCGCUGAAGGUUGGUUCUUGUACCAACUGGAUGAGCAGCGAACGGGUGAGUAACGCGUGGGGAAUCUGCCUUUGAGCGGGGGACAACAUUUGGAAACGAAUGCUAAUACCGCAUAAAAACUUUAAACACAAGUUUUAAGUUUGAAAGAUGCAAUUGCAUCACUCAAAGAUGAUCCCGCGUUGUAUUAGCUAGUUGGUGAGGUAAAGGCUCACCAAGGCGAGGAUACAUAGCCGACCUGAGAGGGUGGGCGGCCGCAUUGGGACGGUGACACGGCCCAAACGCCUACGGGAGGCAGCAGUAGGGAAUCUUCGGCAAUGGGCGGAAGUCUGACCGAGCAGCGCCGCGGGAGUGAAGAAGGUUUUCGGGUCGUAAAACUCUGUUGGUAGGGAAGAACGUUGGUGAGAGUGGAAAGCUCAUCAAGUGACGGUAACUACCCAGAAAGGGACGGCUAACUACGUG